UACAUCGGCCGGGAAGCGAAUCCGGGCCGCCCACGUGGCAGACGAGCAUCCUACCACUGAACCACUGAUGC